rnacentral:misc_RNA from 1 species
GUAGGUGAACCUGCGGAAGGAUCAUUAACACGUAUCCAAACGUUAAAACCCCCCUGUGAACCUUCAACACCAAUAAGGGUCCUGCAAAUAGUUUGGGGCAACCACUAGUAAAUCAUUGUCUGAUUACCAAGAUGAAAAUCUUGCAUGACAUGAGAGACGGCCGGCGCCGAAAGGUUGUAGGCACAAAAAAACGAACAACUGUUAACAAUGGAUAUCUUGGUUUUC